UGAGGAAUCUUGCGCAAUGGGGGCAACCCUGACGCAGCAACGCCGCGUGAGUGAGGAAGGUCUUCGGAUCGUAAAGCUCUGUCAGUUGGGAAGAAACGCAUGAGGGUGAAUAUCCCUCUUGCUUGACGGUACCAACAGAGGAAGCACCGGCUAACUCCGUGCCAGCAGCCGCGGUAAUACGGGGGGUGCAAGCGUUGUUCGGAAUUAUUGGGCGUAAAGAGCGUGUAGGCGGCCGAAUGUGUCAGAUGUGAAAGCCCUGGGCUUAACCCAGGAAGUGCAUUUGAAACUGUUCGGCUAGAGUAGGGGAGAGGGUAGUGGAAUUCCUGGUGUAGAGGUGAAAUUCGUAGAUAUCAGGAGGAACACCGGUGGCGAAGGCGACUUCCUGGCCCUAUACUGACGCUGAGACGCGAGAGCGUGGGUAGCAAACAGG
rnacentral:rRNA from 1 species